GUUUCGUUGUUUCCCAACUUCCCAUAAUGCUUCACUGUGAUUGCCAGGCUGAGAGCUGACAAAUGCUGUUCUUGAAAUGUUGCGCAGUUUACGCGUGUUCGGAAAAGUGCAGGGAUAUUUGAUCCUGUUUACUGACACAAAUCUAGUUCGGGGUUUUAGGGUACAAGAGUUAGAUUGGCUCUUGACCAAGAUGCUGGGUGAGACUCCCUGUUGAAUUGGACGUUUGUAAAAGCCCCACACUCCUUCCUGUUUGGUUGCUAUGGAGCAACCGCUGGGGGACUAUGAUGAUUUAGAGCCACAGGACCCCUCCUCCACCCGCGGCCUUCCCGCUGUGAUGGACCUGACCAGAAAAGGUGAGGAAUGCCUCUUGAAAGCCAACUCCAUGGACGUCCUACAGGUGGUCAAGCCUCCCAGCUGGUACCCAAACGUCCCUGAGACUGACCACGACCACAGGCUUCAACCAGUAGACCAGAUCCAGCCAGACAAUCCCUUCUCCAACACCACAGUCACUCUCUCAUAUGUGAGCCGGUCUCAUGUCUUCUCCCAGCAUCCCUCUCUCUCCCAGCAUCCCUCUCUCUCCCAGCAUCCCUCUCUCUCCCAGCAUCCCUCUCUCUCCCAGCAUCCCUCUCUCUCCCAGCAUCCCUCUCUCUCCCAGCAUCCCUCUCUCUCCCAGCAUCCCUCUCUCUACGGUGUCCCGUCGAUCAGCAGGUUCUCAACAAUGGAUGGCUACCUGCAGCAGGUAGACAGGCCUCUGGGCUUCGCACCUCGGUCGGAAAUGUUUGACUCUAUCCCUCCAGCCCAGGUGGUGGGUGAGAAUGUCGCAGGGGUGUGUCUGAUGCAGCAGUCUCAUGAAAUCAAUGGCCAUCGAGUUGCCAGUAACGGAGGAGUGGAGAAAUACAAGCCUCAACAGAGAGGGAGUUCAAUGAAACGCACUCUUUCUCAGGACACAGUCAACAAAGGAUUGCAGAAUGGCCAGGGUAGUAGCAGCUGGUCCAACUCUGCCAUCUGCAUCGAUUCCUCCCCAGAGUCUCUCACUACAGACAUGGAGGAUGGUCAGAGGGCUUCAGAGGUUCUCUUUCUCAUCUCUAGAACAGAGGAGCCAGUCCUGAUGCAGGACCGCAGGAGUCCCAGGGACCUGUGUUCUCCGAAUAGGGACUAUAUCAGUCCUCUGGAGGACCCGGUCUCUCCCUCUGUCUCACUGGAUGACGUAGAGGAUGGGCUCAUUCUGCCUCAGCCCUCUUGCUCACCCUGUGCAUACAAUUAUUCACCAGACGACACGGCUGAUACCUGCUGGGAUGAGCUGGGGAAAGGAGGACCUGAGCUGUCUGUAGUACAGGGGACAAGGUCUAAUGGUGAGAAUACACCAAGGUUAGAUUACAGCAAGGACUUCCAGCAGCCAGGACAUAAACCCAAGGCGGCUUCGGAGCCUAUUGUUGAUUUGACAGAAGACGAGAGCACUGUGCCAGAGGUUUCAGAAAAGAAACCCAAGCAGACAGCUGCUACUCACCUGAAUGAUAAUGUCAAGGUGGAGCAGAGGACUUCUGAGAGGAAACGACUUCCCCCUCGCUCUGGCAGGGGAACCAGGCUAGAGGCCAUAGUGAUGAAUAUAAACCCUAACUGGUAUAAAGUAUCUACUAAGAAGCCCAAGUCUCAGACGAAUCCCCUGACCCAGAGCAGUCCAUCUAAAGCCGGUGUUAGUCCUAACGAACAGACCUCGUUUGUAGUGAAGAAGAAGUUCCAGAAUAAAGCAGAGUCUAGCUGUGAGGAAGAGACUAAAGUACAGGCGGCAGCCUCACUGACCGGUCAUAUGGAUAACAUUUACACAAACACAGGCCGUUGCAUAGAGUCUACCUCAGAUUCGGAAAAUGUCUGUUUUUCGAAAUACCCACACAACCACCGCACAUCUCCGAUAACCUCCAGUCUGCCCUUUGCUCCAGACAAAGAUUUAGAGAAGGAGUCGGAACACGGAGAGUCAGGUCCCGAGCCCUCCUCUGAGGUGGAUUUACUGACUGUAUCGACGUCACUUAAAACAUCUCCAAAGAAACCCGGGAAGCAUAAAGCUGAAACUACAAGCAGCGAAGCAGCUGCUCCCACAGCCAAAACAAGGAAGGCGACCCCUGCUCCCAAGAAGAAAAGGAAGAAACCCAGACUGGAUCAGUCCUCAAUAUUCUCCCCUCGGGAGCCUGAGAUCAAACUGAAAUACAUCAACUACAAGGAGGAGAAGAGGGACAUGAGGGUGGACACAUUCUCUCCUUUCAUCCACAUAGAGCAUAAGCCCUCCUCCACCUCCCCCGCCAACUGUACUGUCAUCAACUACCCAGAGGAGGAGAAGCCCAGGCAGAAUGGCCAGGGGCAACAGCAGGCUGGAAGUUCAGGAUCCAGGGGUUUCAUCCCAGGGGCUGUACCCUCCACUUCCUGCCUCCAGCUUGGCCGCAUCUCCACCCACAGCCAGCACCACAGCUCACUGGUUUGCUGCCUGUGUGGAGGCUCGGCUAACGCCAUGGACCUUGGGGACCUCCACGGACCAUACUACCCUGAGGGAUACAGACCCGGCACUGAAGCCCCAGCUAGCAAACCAGGCCUCAAAGAAGAGGAGGAUCUCAGUGACUCUGACUCAUCCUGCAGCGUGAGAGGCCGGGGUAGAAAGUGUGCUCGGCCCCCGGGGGUCCCCUGGCCCCACAAACCUGACCCCCGGCUGAAACGGGAGGGCCUGCUGGGGAGAUGGACCAGUGACAGCGACCCCUCAGGCAGCCCUGGAUCUAAGAGGGGCAGGAUUGAGGCUGGGCCUUCGGUAACAUCUGGGUCCAGGGCUGCAGUGGAUGACUGGUACGUUCCCCCGGUGGUGCCUCUGGACCAGUGUGAGUACUGGCUCCAUGAGGACUGCAGCAUCUGGUCUGCAGGUGUGUUCCUGGUGAAGGGAAGGGUCUACGGCCUGGAAGAGGCAGUCAAGGUGGCUCAGGAGACGACGUGUUCUCGCUGCCAUAACCCAGGUGCCACGUUGGGCUGCUUCAUCAAAGGAUGCCCCAACAAGUAUCACUACAGGUGUUCUCUACAGUCAGACUGUGUCCUCAAUGAAGAGAACUUCUCCAUGAAAUGCACUAAACACAAGAACAAGUCGUUCCAAGGCCUUCCUGGGAGCAGAAGAGACAACCGGUGACACAACCAGAAGACGGACUUGAUUACACAUGGCUAGUUGUUCUCUUUGGCAUUUAUACAUGACAACACCAUCUCUUUUCUGCUUGUUGUCCACUUUAUGUCAGCGUUACUGACCUGCGUACGUCGUUUAUCUGUGGCGUUACCCGGUAACCCGGUAACUGUGGCAACGCUGUAACUGUCCUCUGGAUUGACAGCUGGGCUGGGGGCGGAAUGCAAACACCCACAAACCUUAAACUGGCUUUCUGCACCUCUGCUACCUUUCCUGUUAUCUUCACCACAUAAAGCACUGUGAAGACUAAGCAGGAGACCAAGGCUGUCCUAAUGUUCUGCCACCUCUCCUGGUUCUGGACUGACUGCCAACGGUGGGUAGUAGAUGGGCCAAUGACAGAACAGAAGAGUUAGGAGCAGGGCCCAAUACCAAUGUCACCAUUUGAUUGAAGAUGGCACGUGUUUAGCUUAUAGCUUAUGGCUAAACAUGUGCUAUCUCUUUAAUUAUUUAUUAGGAAAAAGGAUUCUCCCUUUUUUUUAAAUUGAAAUGUUGAUAAAAUAAUUGGAGGUAUUUAAUUUUAUAAAGCUUUUUAAAGUA